UGUUUGAUGUUCUAACGUUGACCCGUAAUCCGGGUUGCGGACAGUGUCUGGUGGGUAGUUUGACUGGGGCGGUCUCCUCCUAAAGAGUAACGGAGGAGCACGAAGGUUGGCUAAUCCUGGUCGGACAUCAGGAGGUUAGUGCAAUGGCAUAAGCCAGCUUGACUGCGAGCGUGACGGCGCGAGCAGGUGCGAAAGCAGGUCAUAGUGAUCCGGUGGUUCUGAAUGGAAGGGCCAUCGCUCAACGGAUAAAAGGUACUCCGGGGAUAACAGGCUGAUACCGCCCAAGAGUUCAUAUCGACGGCGGUGUUUGGCACCUCGAUGUCGGCUCAUCACAUCCUGGGGCUGAAGUAGGUCCCAAGGGUAUGGCUGUUCGCCAUUUAAAGUGGUACGCGAGCUGGGUUUAGAACGUCGUGAGACAGUUCGGUCCCUAUCUGCCGUGGGCGCUGGAGAACUGA
rnacentral:rRNA from 1 species